rnacentral:rRNA from 1 species
UACGUAGGGUGUGAGCGUUAAUCGGAAUUACUGGGCGUAAAGCGUGCGCAGGCGGUUUUGUAAGUCAGAUGUGAAAUCCCCGGGCUUAACCUGGGAAUGGCAUUUGGGACUGCAAGGCUCGAGUGCGGCAGAGGAGACUGGAAUUCCUGGUGUAGCAGUGAAAUGCGUAGAUAUCAGGAGGAACACCGAUGGCGAAGGCAGGUCUCUGGGCUGACACUGACGCUCAUGCACGAAAGCGUGGGGAGCAAACAGG